rnacentral:rRNA from 1 species
UACGGAGGGUGCGAGCGUUGUCCGGAAUCACUGGGCGUAAAGGGCGCGUAGGUGGCCUGUGGAAGUCUGCGGUGAAAGCCCAGAGCUCAACUCUGGAAUUGCCUUUGAGACUGAGUGGCUUGAGUACGAGAGAGGUGAGUGGAAUUCCCAGUGUAGAGGUGAAAUUCGUAGAUAUUGGGAAGAACACCGGUGGCGAAGGCGGCUAUCUGGACCGACAUUGACGCUGAGGCGCGAAAGCGUGGGGAGCAAACAGG